rnacentral:rRNA from 1 species
CACGUAGGGGACGAGCGUUGUCCGGAUUCAUUGGGCGUAAAGCGCGUGUAGGCGGCUCGGCAAGUCGGGUGUGAAAGCCCUGGGCUUAACCUAGGAAGUGCACUCGAAACUGCCAAGCUUGAGUUCUGGAGAGGAAGGCGGAAUUCUCGGUGUAGAGGUGAAAUUCGUAGAUAUCGAGAGGAACACCGGUGGCGAAGGCGGCCUUCUGGACAGCAACUGACGCUGAGACGCGAAGCGUGGGAGCAAACAGG